AGGAUAAACGCUGGCGGCGUGCCUUAUGCAUGCAAGUCGUACGGACGGUAGGGCUUCGGCCCUAUCGUUAGUGGCGAACGGGUGAGUAACACGUAUGUAACCUAUCCGAAUGUGGGGGAUAACUCGCCGAAAGGCGGACUAAUACCGCAUGUGGUCACCGAUGAGAAUUCGGAUGACGAAAGGCCCGACUUGUCGGGCCGCAUUCGGAGGGGCUGCGGCCGAUUAGCUAGUUGGUGAGGUAACGGCCCACCAAGGCUACAAUCGGUAGCUGGUCUGAGAGGACGGCCAGCCACGACGGGGACUGAGACACCGGCCCCGACUCCUACGGGAGCAGCAGCAAGGAAUCGUUGCGCAAGUGGGACGAAAGCCUGACGCAGCCAACGCCGCGGUGGGAUGGAACGGCCGUUUCGGGUACCGUUAAACCCCGUUUUGGUUGGGAACG
rnacentral:rRNA from 1 species